AAUUAUCCAUUCCUCAUCCUGAUCUCUUUGUUGUCUACUUAUCAACCUAAAAGAGAUCUUUGGAGUUUGGAGGCCACGAUGGUCAUCACCAGGAAAACCUCAGCUAAGGGAUAGUAGGAAGUUGUUGAACAUCGCUGGAGACAACCUCAGUUGUCUGAAAAGGAUUUAGGAGAUGAACAGCCUCAGUUCGGAAUCGUACAGGAGCCAGAAGAUUCUUAGCAGGGGUGUCUUGCAGAAGGAGUAGAAGAACCAACUGAAGCGUAGUGAUUUUCUUCUGUAGUAGUAGUUGGAUAUUAAAACUCUUUUACCGCACUUUUCUUUAGUUUGAUGAUAGAUUUAGUUAUUUUAUUUCCUUUUAUUAUGGACUAUGUAUUUCUUAUUUCCUAGUUGAACUGUUGUUGUAAUAAGGGUACGUUUGACCCAUAUUUUAUGUCUGGGAUGAUUUACCAUUAAUGAUAUGUCUAUUUUUAUU